rnacentral:tRNA from 1 species
GAGGGUAUAGCUCAAAUGGUAGAGCGCAUGCUUAACAUGCAUGAGGUCUUGUGUUCAAUCCCCAGUACCUCCU